GGCUGGUUGUUGCCAAUGUGCAGGCUGGCGUUUCGAUCGAUGACGCCAAGAAACCCAAUAUCAUUGGGAAACGCCUCUUGAGUGUUUGAAGAAAGGGCUGAGGAGCCCCGCACCAUGUCAUUUCCUCUUUUUCGGGCAGCGUUGGAUAAAAGGCAGAAGGUUUCGCAUAGAACACUCUGAUUGUACCUACUUGUGGCCGGGUGAUAGUGCUCCGAACCUUUCCGCCAACAGCGUGAGCAUCGCAAGGAGUUCUCCGUCGCCAUGCAGUACAGCUCCGUGUUUCUCGCCGCUCUCUUCGCCGUAAUCCUCCUAGCGACCGGUGCCACGUCGCGCCGCCCAGUUUCUUGUGACGUGGUGCGCUGCCGGGGUUGUCCCCCUGGGUCCACGCUCCGUGCCGUGCCGGGUGACUGCUGCAGAUGCGUUCCUCAAGUCGACUGCAGGGCCGUGUUCUGCGCCCCGUGUCGUAGGGGAACGAUCCUGCGCCAGACUCCCGGAAACUGCUGUGAGUGCGUGAGGGCGAACAUAGGUUAAGGCAACGAUGGCGCCUUUCCCAAAAGACCGGGACGAAGAAAUGUUUGCCGAGGCCAGCUGCAUACGGCGCAGUGCUUGUGUUUCUUGAGUAUGAGCAAAUAAAGACACUUAUGUGAGUUUUA